AUCGAUAUGCUGUUACUUAGCUUUGUCAAAGAAAGGCAGAGAAGGUUGAGAGUGAUGGUGUGCUACCAGAGGAACAAGAAGAACGCAAAGCCUGUCUUGUUGAAAGGCAGCACUGCCUGAUGAAGAUCAUUGAGGAAAGCUCCUCUGACCCGUCAGUAGCUGCCCAACUGCCGGUAUCUGUUAGAGCUGUGACGGAAAUGCUGAAGGCAGUGAUCCGGGAGCUUGGGGAGAAUGGUGAGGAGGGAAGUCUUGCCUCCAGAAAUAUCUCACGAGCUGCGUACGUGGAAGUGAAAGAUGCAGUUCCAUCACCCAAGAAGUUCUCUUUCUCACCAACUAACACCUACCAGACUCUCCUUCAGUGGGCAGAAGAUCACAAGUCCUUACUUCAAAAGCUGUGUCAGCAAGUGGAAGCUUUAAAGGUAAACAGCUUCUGUCACUAUACUGGAUGCAGAACAGUUGAUCUUUUUGUUCUGGUAAGUACUUUGUGACCCAAGCACUGAACUAAGCUUCACUUGCCAGGCUACCUCUUAACUCAGUGAAGAGAACUGCUAUAAACAUCCGCUUAAAUUCAGGGCAAGAGUGAAACUUUGUUGCCUACAAACUCUAAUUUGGUACUCAGAUAUAGGAAGUAAUCCUGAGGAUUGUGUGUGCAGAAAGUUGUGCUUUCUUCAGCUUAGCUGUUGUCAUCUUGGUUCUGGGUUUAUUUCUAGCUUCAGGGAACAGUCUCGGUUUAGUAAAGCAUGGGCAGAUCGUGGAUUAUUACAGCAGUUAACUCUUCUUUUUUUUUUUGUCUCAGAUCUUGAACGUGCUUUUAAAUAGCAAAGGAGCGUAGGGAUCAUUCCUUGGGUUUUCCCCACAUACCUGUGUUUCAUACGUUUCCAUUCUCUUAAUUGAAACCCUGUCUUUAACAGAAUGAAACACGGGAAAUGAAACGUAACAGUUGCAGUGUAAGCGUGCCAUCUCAUCGCUGGCCUGCUGAAAGCUGUGGAGCAGAUACUGUGUCAGAUGGUUAUGGGAGAGCACAACAUCUUUGUGAAGCUCCUUGGAGGGUUGCUACCUCUGGCCUGUCUGUUUGCAGUAGCCAGUCACCUGCUGUGACUCGCAGUGUCUUCGAAGAACUGCUGCAACCAAUGUACCACCAACAGAGGCGCCUGUCUGUGGCAUGAACGGACCUGCACCUCAGCACGUAGACGUGCUCAGCAACAAGCGAUCCACGCGCCGCCUCUGCACAGCACUUGUGCUGGUGUGUUUCCUCAAGGCACCUGUGGUGCACCUGUGUGUUUUGAUGCUCCGUCUGCUGGAAUCCUUUCUCCUCGUGGAGGUGAUGAUCGCUACAACUACGGCCUGCCCCAGGCGAGCGCAAAUCCACCUCUGCCUGAACCAGGCUGUUUUACAAAACCUGCGUUUGCACCCACAGGUUUAAAACCUGCAGAGUCCUGUGUCAGUGCCGCACAGGACAAAUUAGGAUCCGCCUUUGUGAAAAAGGAAGGGCAGUGGGACUGUAACAUCUCUUCAGUGAGAAAUGAACCCACUGCCCCAAAAUGUGUUGCCCUGCAGAAUGCAAACAAAACUCAUUCAGCAGUAUCUCUUCAAGAACUGUCCUUUAAACUCGAUGGGAAAACCCCAGUGUGUACCUCUCAGAAUCUGGCAGAUGCUGAAGCAAAGCCUGCAGAAGGAAGAUGUAACUUCUCAGUGUGGUUGCCUCCAGGUGGAUUUAAAUUUGACAUAGAGGAGUGCAAUACAAAUUGCGCUAAGAAAGACAAUCCACCCAAGGAGCGUACAGCAGGCUUGACAAACAUGGAUGGAAAAGACAAAAAUGAACUGCCCUCAGGUGGUGGAGUUAUACUCCAAUCUCAAGAAACAGCAAACAGGGACAAGAGUGAGCACACCUGUGAGAAAGGCACGUGGAUAACACCUCAUGUUUCUGGUACAAACACAGCCAAAGCGUCUCCUUGUGGUGCGAACUCUGUAGCUGUGCUGGAGGAAGCUACCAGGGAACAAAGUGACCUCAGCCAUGGUGGUGAUGGUUCUGAUGCCGCUGUAGAGGCCUCAGAGGCUUUAAGCACCUCUGAAACGCCAAGAAAAACCGUGGUUUCUGCUCCAAAGUUUGUAUUUAUGUCUGAAUGUGUCAAGAGCGUUUUCAGUAACGAAAAGACAUUCCCAUCUGGCAAGACCUCGGCCAUCGGUUCCCUCUUUGGAUUCGGCUUUAAUCCUCCAGGAAAGAGCGCUGAUGGAAUUUCAACAUCUCAGAAAGCAGAGCAGGAAAAACCGGGAGUGGCUGAAGCACCCAAAAGCUGCAGUGCAGCUCAGGAACCUUGGGAGAGCGAGGCAUCCAAGCUGGCUCCUCCAGCACAAGAUGGGCCCUCCAACUUCUCGUUUAAAAUUCUGGAAGAAGCAGGCCCCCCAGUCAAACCUGAGCUGCAGAGGGAAUGUGUUACUGCUUCUCAGGUUUCUCAGGGAGAGAAGGGAAACAGCUUUGCCUCCUAAAGUAGAAACAGCUUUGGCUAGUAGAAUUCCUCCUAGCAGAAUUACAUACUGCAGCAACCAGUGAACAACAGCGGUAUUUGUGCAGUCAGCUGCGAGCAGCGAAGAAGCAGAAUGCACAGAAACUGCUCAUGUAUCACAGGAUUUACCAGGAGGUGGUGAUGCAGCUUUUUAGGAAGGAGAAGAACUGUGGAGGUAAAGUCUGGAGAAGAAUGUGAAGGAAUUGUCUUCAAAGAGAGGGCAGAACUUUACAGCUGGGCCAGAGAUGCUGCUCAGCGGAAGGAGCGCGCUCUUGGAGAGCUGAAGGUCCUCUUCCGGACACAGCAGAAGUAUUCCAGGACCCUCAUGAGAAGGGACCGAGUUGUUGAGGUGUGUGCAAAGCAUGUCAUCGCCACAGAAAUGAACUCAUUGCCCUCUGAAACAUCAAACUGUUUGAAUUUGGACAGCUACAGGUGAUGCUGACGGUGAAGUGGAAGUAGAGCGAGUUGCGGUCAGAUUAGAAGUUCAAGAACUGGCUGAUUCUUUCGAGAGGAGAUUGAAGAAUGCCAGCAAAGCUUGUCAGAGCUGCAGAAGGGCCAGCUCUCUCUGGCAGCAGAGCUGUCGAAGGACACCAGCCCUGUUGUUGUGUAUUUUGAUGUUUCUGCCAGCGAUGAACCUUCAGGACACACAGCCACGGAGCUGCUUUCACACAUUGUCCCUCGGACGGCUGGAAAGUUCAGGGCCCUGUGCACAGGGGAGAAAGGCUCGUGGAUUCAAGAGUACCACGUUUCACAGGAUAGUUAGUGACUUCCUAUGUCAGGUGAGUUCAUUCUUGGUUGUGUGACUGCUAUAAACAACCGCUGGUAUCCAGAGUGCUUCUGCUGUGAUAUCUGCCAACAGGUAUUGGCAGGUAUUGGAUUUGUCAAGAAUGCUGGCAGGUGGAUCUUCACCCUUCCUUCUGUCACUGGAAGGAACUCGCUGCUGAUGCUCGCGAACCGAAGGGAGAAUGAUUACAUUGUUUACCUGCCGUGACAAAAUGGGCAUCCCCACCUGUGGAGCACGUGGAACACCAGUGAAAGGACGUGUGGUGAACGCUGUGGGCAAGCAGUGGCACGUGGAGGUAAGCAUCAGCUGACACGUGGUCUGUCACACAUGUAAGGGCUGACGUGCUUAACUGGAAUAUCGCUGACCAGCUGCCGUGAAAGGAUUAGAAAAGUGUGCAGCAGUGAUCAGCAGAUCAUCUCCUCAUCCCAUGUUCAACCUUCGUUUGCCUGAUCUUCCACUGAGAAAAGACCUCUGCCUGCGGAGCUGAAAUCAACAGUCCAAGGAAGCAUUGCAAGGUCCCUGUAGAGCAAAAUGUCACCAAGUGAGAAGCAGGAUGUGUGGAAAGGCAGCCAAGUUCUGUGACAAACGCAGCACUAGUGGGCAUCAUAAUAUUGUUAUGGCUUCCAGUUACUUGCCAGGUAAACAUCUCUAAGGCAGUUGAGGUGACAGUUCCUAUUUCAAGUCCAUGUGCAAGAUUUACUUCUUCAUCUUCCAUUUAAGCUGUGAAGAUAAGCAUUCUAGUCCUUUGGCUGUGAAAUUCUCCUGCAGCAGGUGCUUUCUUCACAAGAUGCAGUGGUGGUGCAAAUUACUUGACCUCACUGGGUUCUGUCAAUAAUAACAUACCAGAAUCACUUCAGUGCUUUUUUUUUUUUUCUUUUUUGUACCUUGAUGGAAAAUUAGGGAGAGUCUGUUUUCUUAGGAUCACCUGUGAGUGUAAAGCCUAAUCAGUAGGUGUUCUGUUGCAGUCGGUUUGUGUGGGUUUCUCUGUAGGUAAGUUUUGCAUUGCAGAAAGAAAACUGCAGGUAAUUCACAAAGGAUAGCUGGGCUAAUCAGAAUCUAAUUGCUCUUCAAGCUUAGUGUUGCUUAUCUUGAGCUGUUUCAAGCUUUUGCAGAUGUCUAAGAUGGGAGCAGCUUGUGACACCCAGUUUUCCCCAAGCACAUCAGGACGAUCUGCCGCUCAAGAGCUGUGGUUUCACUCAAAGCCUUUGGGUGGCGUGGACUUCCUUACAGCUGCAAUUCUCAGACGACCAUGCGUUAAGAUGCGCUGCAUCAAGCAGCUCUUCCAUCCGGUUGCUGAAGACCAACAAAGACUGAACUUGUCAGAGGACAGCACCUAGCAUUGAAAGAAGAGCUGUACGUAGUUGCACUGUUUCCCUCCAGCCUCCCUUGACUGUGCAGUCCAGGACCAUAAUGGAUAGAGCUUUCUGCUUUGGAAGCCAGGUGCAAGGGUCAUGUACGCAUCUUUGCUUGGAUAAAUAAAGGAGGAUUACAUUUGGGAGUUGUAAGGCAUCUGCACAUCACAGGUGGAUCCUAAUUUUGUCAGCGAUGAGGGGCAGGUGAUUGAAAUAUUGCUGGCAUCCCUGCAGACAAUAAAUGCCAUGUUUAUCAAUAGCACUAAUACAUGAUUAGCAAUAGUAUUGCAGUCAUGAUAGAGCAAGAACAUGCAGCAGGCAAGAGUUGUGUGUUGAUUGGAUGCACGGAUGUUCAGCUGGAUGCUUACUAAACAUGCGUAUGUGACUCUUCAUUGCUGGAUUUCAAAUGCUCAGGAUUAGGGAAGCAGCAAAACAAAACUGUAUUUGUAGAGGGUGGAGCAGAUGUAAAGAAAUGCUUUCAUCUUUAAUACUAUAAAGACAUUUUGUGAUUAGAUGACGCAAGAUUGAAUUGGGAACCCAAAUCAGAUUUGCCAUCAUUCUCCUUUGAGAAUGGUGACAGAAAACAGGAAAGCUAUUGAGAUACAUUUGAGAAAUUACUGUCAAUAAAAUCAAUUAAAAGUUAGUUGUUUCUCCUUCCUCUUCAGCUGUGUGGUGAUGUAUGUUUCCACUGCAGUCGUGUGAUUGAUGGAGAUGGUAAGCAGUUCUCUAGCUGUUUUCUUAGCUCAGUUACGUUUUGAUGAAAGUUCUUUCUGAAAGUGGAAGGAAGCUCCUUUGUUGAAUCCCUCAGUGCUCCCAUUAGACCACAAAGAGGCAUUCUCUCUAUCAGAAAUCAGGAUAGAUGUGAUUAGUCAGAGGCCAAAUGGGAAGAAGACCUUACAGCAGCUGUUUUGUGAUGAUGGAAGAUCAAACAGGAGCUAAAGAGAACUGUGGUCAGCUGGAAACCUUUUAGUAACAACCAAAGGCCAGGGAUGCUGGGAUGCAGAGGAGGCUUCCUGCCCCCAGCGGCUUUAAAAAGGGACACGUACAGCUGAGAGGAUGAGCACAUAGGCAUCUCCCCGAAUGAACUUAGUGAUCACGACUGUAAAAAUGUUUGGAAACCGAGCAGUUCAGGUGGGCUUUGUGAGGGAUUAUUUUUUUUCAAGUGCCUCGCUUCCACUGUUUCAGUUUGGGUCCUGGAGAUAUUCGCCUAUCUGUCACAGGCACCUGUCUGUUAUGUGGGAGGGACUCUGAGGCUGUAAUCAGACAGCAGAUGACGAUGCGUGCCUUUCAUCUUGAAAUGCUCCCUUCUCUCUCUGAGCACACGUGUGCAGAUUUGUCGAUAACAGACAACUGCUGUCAACUCACCUGAAAGGUUUCUGACCCUGACAACGCACCGAUGCAGGCGGGCCAUUGCGCACGGUAAUCUCCAGAUUGAGAAAGUAUGCUUGUGAGCACCUGCCAGAGCACUCUGCAAAGUGCCCCAAUGAUAUGGGCAGGUAGCGUCAUUUUUAUUAGUGACAAUAUCAAUAUGCAAAUUCAGCAUGCAUACAAAAUUUCCAGUGGCCUGGGUAAGAAACCAAAUGUACCUCAUUUCCUGGAAAAAAUAACACUUAGACUUCAGGUUGGAGAGCCCCAUUGAGGAGCCUCGUUAGAGAUGGUUUGACAAGGACCACACUUGUAAAUACAGUCACUGUACAAAUGACCUACUUCUGAUAGUUUGUUCCUACACGCUGCAUCUUUGUAAAUCACACAGCAUGGAAUAUCUGUGUGGAGUCUAAUUCCCACUGGAAGAAACAAAUAGACUCAGAUCCAGUUGAAUUUUGCUGUAUUCCAUUCAGAAUAACCCAUUAACCUCAUAUAAGCAUUUGCGUUUUAUUUAUUGUUUGUGCCUUAUUCUGCUGGACUGACCAUAUGUGAGUGUUCCAUUAUAUAUACAAUAUAUGUAGUUUUAUUUUUCUUAUUUUUGUGCAGAAACUAUGUAUGAGGUAUUUUCAAAAGAUAACAAAUUUUGCCUUAAUUAUGCAGGAUGCAAGAGGAAUUUUGUUUGAAGUGUGAAUGCCUGAGCUUGAAGUUUAGCUUUUAGGCUUCCCUGACUUCUGGAACAGCAGUGAAGAUGUGUAUUCCAGUUAACUGGCAGUGUUACUUCUACAGUGAGUGUAAAUAUAUGUGGUUUGAUCCUACUGGGAUCUGUUUCUUCAGCUGUCUUCAAGAACUGCGCUCACAAAUGGUCAGAAUUCACUGUAGGAUGCUUGUGAUUGUUUUGUACUAUUAAGUUCUGUCCAUGAGAGCUUGUUCUCCCUAUUCUGUCAAAAAUACUGGAAUUAGGAAUUCUUGAUGGUACCGUGCUCUCAAGUAUGCAAACCUUUUUUUCAUAUUAGAGGCACAAUUUUUAUAUCAAUGCAUCGUAGCAAGCCAGAUUUCCUUUCCUCCUUAUGGAAAACCAGAUGCUUUGAAACAUCUUUCCAGUGUCAUGAAUAAAGGCUCGGUUCUCAAAACCUGUAUCCCCUCCAUUAUGUGAAGGCUUGAGCGGGGUGGAAAAGCACCCAGGCAGCCUGCCUUCUUUUGUAACACUGUUGGGAUUUUGGGCUGUGCCAUGGGUUCAGUUGCUUGUAGUCAACAGCGAUUCCUUGAAACUGUAAUUCAGUUCAAGUGUGUUUGUUUUGUCUUGAUUAGUUUUGCUUUUCCACAUGCCGCUGCCCACAGGCACAGCCUUGCUGCUCAGAGAGCUGGGAACAAUCCCUAACUUGAGGCUGCACAGCUCUGCCUCGCGAGGUUACGUCCACCCCUCGCUGGCAGGGUGCAACCAUCAGCCUCCCUGGGCUCUGUGGCAGUCCUGGGCCCUUCACACAUCAUGUUUGUUCAAGUUCUUGAUAGUGUACGCUGUGCUGUGCUGUGUCUGAUGCUCAGAUGUGAACGAUCCUGAUCAUCAGCAAAUGCACUCCUGCACUGCUGGUGGUGGCUGGUGUGAGUGAGCUGGCCAGGCAGUGGCCAACCAGUUCAGGCCCAUAUUUGCUGUCACGGUGUGUGGUAUCGCGCUCUUCUUCCUGUUUCCCAGCAGAUCACAGGGCCUUGCAGCAACAGGGUGUUUAGAUCCGCGUUCUCUCGCCCGGUGUGGCCCCCUCCUGCACCGGGCACAAGGUCCAGUUGGAACAGCACAAGCAUUUUUAUCUGCUUGCUUGGGCUUUUUACAGUCCCUUUGUACACAUAGGCCUUCCUGUGCCCAAAGCCAGAAGAAAGGGGGCUUGCUGCUCCAUACCCAGAAGAAAGGGGUUGUCCUGGGCCGGAAACCAAAAAGAAGGGACUGGCUGGACUAAAAAACAGAAGGAACGUGGCGGGCUGGGCAGACAGCCAGAAGGAACGGGGCUUCCUGGGGCAGAAUGGAGCAGGAAAGCAGCCUGCUGGGCAGCAAAUCCGUCAGGGAGAUUCUUGCUGUGCAGAAACUGAGAAGGAAGGGGGCUCACCAGGAAGAAACCCCGAUGGCAGAAGGCUUGCUCAGCUCAAAGCCAGAAAGAACUGGACUUGCUCUACUGAAACAGUGAAGAAGAGAGGCUGGAAAGGUCAAACGCCAGAAGGAAUGAGGAUUGCUGGGCCCAAAGCCGGAAGGAAAGGUCCUUGCUGGGCUGAAAUGAAUAGAGAAGGGUUUUGCUGCUCUUCAACCCAGAAGGAAGAGGGCUUGUAAGACCAUACCCAGAAGAAAGGGGGAGUGCUGGGCAACAAACCAGAAGGAAGGGGGCUUGCUGGACUCAAACCCAGAAGGAGGGGGCUUGCUGGUCCAUACCCAGAAAGAAGUGGGUGUGCUGCGCCACAAAGCAAAAAGAAGGUGCUUGCUGGGUCCUGAACUGGAAGAAAGGGGGCUUGCUGGGCCACAAAUGGAGAAGAAGGGGUCUUGCUGGACUUGGUUAGGGUUAGAGUUAGUUUUAGGUUUGGGGUAGUGAAAGCUUAGGUUAGGGUUAGUGCUAGAGUUUGGUGUUAGUGUUGAGUUUUAGAGUUAUGCUUGGGGUUAGGGUUUGGGCUAGGGUAGGGUUAGGGUUCGGUUAAGUUUGAGGGUAAGGGUUAGGGUUAGGUUCAGUGCUAAGUUUACAUUUAGGGUUAGGAUACAGCUGGGGUUAGGAUUAAGGUUAGGAUUAGGGUUAGUGUUUGUUUUGGGUUAGGGACUGGGUCAGGGUUAGGGUUGAUAGGUUCAGGUUGGGUUAAUAUUAGUGUGAGGGUUAGUAUUUGCAGAAAGGUUUAGAGCAAGGUUUCAGGUUUGCAUUAGAGCUAGGGUUAGGGUUAGAGUUUGGGGUUAAUUUUGGGUAGUGUUAGGGUUAGGGAUUGGGUUUGGUUGAGGGUUAAAGUUAUGGUAAGAUUUAGGGUUAAGCUUAGGGUUAGGGUUUGGAAUUAGGUUUAGGAUUAAUGUUAUGGCUAAGCUUAGAGUAAGGUUUAGAGUCAGGGUUAGGGUUAUGUUUAGGGCAGGGUUUGGGUUAGGGUUUGGGUUAAAGUUAGGGUUGUGGGCUAGGGUGUAGUAUCUUCUCUACAGAUUCUAUUGUGAUACACGAUUGAACCAUUUGCCAUUUCACGUUUAAUCCUUAGGGGAACCGAGUAAAUGGGAGUUUCACAUGUUCUCAUGUUCAAUACAGAACCAGCAGUGGCAGCAACGAUGUCGAGACAAUGACUUUCACAGGCAUGAGAAGUAAUGGAGAUGUGCACAGUUCUUCCAGCCGCUGUGCAAAGAGCGAAUCCAAACCAGCGCUCUUCUUUACAAGUCCCUUUAUGCCUGUGAGGUUUCUGUCAACGGUGGGUGUGCUUACAAUAGAGACAUGAGUUUUCUUUCAUUGUUAUUUUUUUCCAGGCGUGUACCUGGACAAAGCCCAGCAGUUCCAUGGUACCAUUGUGUCUGUGAUGCUUUCCUAGUGAAGGGAGUUUCACCUGGAUGAUACCUCCUUGUACAGCCAAAUGCACUGAAACCAAAACGAA